ACUGAAGUGUGCGUAAACCAGCUUUUAAAAAAGGAAAAAAGGAAACCUGUUUUUUUCAGCCUGGACUUCAAAAGUUGUGCCUACUUCAGCAUCUCAUCAUAUACUUCAGUAAUUAAUACAAGAACAGAUGUACAAAGGGACUUGAGAGCCUAAAGCCCAGUUUUAGACACCUGUGUGUGUACAACAACCGCUUUUCCA